GACGAACGCUGGCGGCGUGCUUAACACAUGCGAGUCGAACGGAAAGGCCCUGCUUUUGUGGGGUGCUCGAGUGGCGAACGGGUGAGUAACACGUGAGUAACCUGCCCUUGACUUUGGGAUAACUUCAGGAAACUGGGGCUAAUACCGGAUAGGAGCUCCUGCUGCAUGGUGGGGGUUGGAAAGUUUCGGCGGUUGGGGAUGGACUCGCGGCUUAUCAGCUUGUUGGUGGGGUAGUGGCUUACCAAGGCUUUGACGGGUAGCCGGCCUGAGAGGGUGACCGGCCACAUUGGGACUGAGAUACGGCCCAGACUCCUAUGGGAGGCAGCAGUGGGAAUAUUGCACAAUGGGCGGAAGCCUGAUGCAGCAACGCCGCGUGCGGGAUGACGGCCUUCGGGUUGUAAACCGCUUUCGCCUGUGACGAAGCGUGAGUGACGGUAAUGGGUAAAGAAGCACCGGCUAACUACGUG
rnacentral:rRNA from 1 species